rnacentral:lncRNA from 1 species
GGGUUAGGGUUAGGGUUAGGGUUGGAGCUAGGGUUAGGGUUAGGGUUAGGGUUGGAGUUAGGGUUAGUGUUGGAGCUAGGGUUAGGGUUGGGCUUGGAGCUAGGAUUUUUCUGAGUGCACUGAACCAACUCCCGAGUCUCUAGGACAUUCCUAAAAAAAUUUGAUUUUUUUCCCAUAGGAAUGCAUGGGUUAGGGUUAUGGUUAGUGUUAGGGUUGGAGCUAGGGUUAGGGUUAGGGUUAGGGUUGGAGUUAGGGUUAGUGUUGGAGCUAGGGUUAGGGUUGGGCUUGGAGCUAGGAUUUUUCUGAGUGCACUGAACCAACUCCCGAGUCUCUAGGACGUUCCUAAAAAAUUUGAUUUUUUCCCAUAGGAAUGCAUGGGUUAGGGUUAGGGUUAGGGUUGGAGCUAGGGUUAGGGUUGGAGCUAGGGUUAGGGUUAGGGUUGGAGUUAGGGUUAGUGUUGGAGCUAGGGUUAGGGUUGGGCUUGGAGCUAGGAUUUUUCUGAGUGCACUGAACCAACUCCCGAGUCUCUAGGACAUUCCUAAAAAAAAUUUGAUUUUUUCCCAUAGGAAUGCAUGGGUUAGGGUUAUGGUUAGGGUUAGGGUUGGAGCUAGGGUUAGGGUUAGGGUUAGGGUUGGAGUUAGGGUUAGUGUUGGAGCUAGGGUUAGGGUUGGGCUUGGAGCUAGGAUUUUUCUGAGUGCACUGAACCAACUCCCGAGUCUCUAGGACAUUCCUAAAAAAAUUUGAUUUUUUCCCAUAGGAAUGCAUGGGUUAGGGUUAUGGUUAGGGUUAGGGUUGGAGCUAGGGUUAGGGUUAGGGUUAGGGUUGGAGCUAGGGUUAGGGUUGGGCUUGGAGCUAGGAUUUUUCUGAGUGCACUGAACCAACUCCCGAGUCUCUAGGACAUUCCUAAAAAAAUUUGAUUUUUUCCCAUAGGAAUGCAUGGGUUAGGGUUAGGGUUAGGGUUGGAGCUAGGGUUAGGGUUAGGGUUAGGGUUGGAGUUAGGGUUAGUGUUGGAGCUAGGGUUAGGGUUGGGCUUGGAGCUAGGAUUUUUCUGAGUGCAAUGAACCAACUCCCGAGUCUCUAGGACGUUCCUAAAAAAAUUUGAUUUUUUCCCAUAGGAAUGCAUGGGUUAGGGUUAGGGUUAGGGUUGGAGCUAGGGUUAGGGUUAGGGUUAGGGUUUGGGUUGGAGUUAGGGUUAGUGUUGGAGCUAGGGUUAGGGUUGGGCUUGGAGCUAGGAUUUUUCUGAGUGCACUGAACCAACUCCCGAGUCUCUAGGACAUUCCUAAAAAAAUUUGAUUUUUUCCCAUAGGAAUGCAUGGGUUAGGGUUAUGGUUAGGGUUAGGGUUGGAGCUAGGGUUAGGGUUAGGGUUAGGGUUGGAGUUAGGGUUAGUGUUGGAGCUAGGGUUAGGGUUGGGCUUGGAGCUAGGAUUUUUCUGAGUGCACUGAACCAACUCCCGAGUCUCUAGGACGUUCCUAAAAAAAUUUGAUUUUUUCCCAUAGGAAUGCAUGGGUUAGGGUUAGGGUUAGGGUUGGAGCUAGGGUUAGGGUUAGGGUUAGGGUUGGAGUUAGGGUUAGUGUUGGAGCUAGGGUUAGGGUUGGGCUUGGAGCUAGGAUUUUUCUGAGUGCACUGAACCAACUCCCGAGUCUCUAGGACAUUCCUAAAAAAAUUUGAUUUUUUUCCCAUAGGAAUGCAUGGGUUAGGGUUAUGGUUAGGGUUAGGGUUGGAGCUAGGGUUAGGGUUAGGGUUAGGGUUGGAGUUAGGGUUAGUGUUGGAGCUAGGGUUAGGGUUGGGCUUGGAGCUAGGAUUUUUCUGAGUGCAAUGAACCAACUCCCGAGUCUCUAGGACGUUCCUAAAAAAAUUUGAUUUUUUCCCAUAGGAAUGCAUGGGUUAGGGUUAGGGUUAGGGUUGGAGCUAGGGUUAGGGUUGGAGCUUGGGUUAGGGUUAGGGUUGGAGUUAGGGUUAGUGUUGGAGCUAGGGUUAGGGUUGGGCUUGGAGCUAGGAUUUUUCUGAGUGCACUGAACCAACUCCCGAGUCUCUAGGACAUUCCUAAAAAAAUUUGAUUUUUUCCCAUAGGAAUGCAUGGGUUAGGGUUAUGGUUAGGGUUAGGGUUGGAGCUAGGGUUAGGGUUAGGGUUAGGGUUGGAGUUAGGGUUAGUGUUGGAGCUAGGGUUAGGGUUGGGCUUGGAGCUAGGAUUUUUCUGAGUGCACUGAACCAACUCCCGAGUCUCUAGGACAUUCCUAAAAAAAUUUGAUUUUUUCCCAUAGGAAUGCAUGGGUUAGGGUUAUGGUUAGGGUUAGGGUUGGAGCUAGGGUUAGGGUUAGGGUUAGGGUUGGAGUUAGGGUUAGUGUUGGAGCUAGGGUUAGGGUUGGGCUUGGAGCUAGGAUUUUUCUGAGUGCAAUGAACCAACUCCCGAGUCUCUAGGACGUUCCUAAAAAAAUUUGAUUUUUUCCCAUAGGAAUGCAUGGGUUAGGGUUAGGGUUAGGGUUGGAGCUAGGGUUAGGGUUAGGGUUAGGGUUGGAGUUAGGGUUAGUGUUGGAGCUAAGGUUAGGGUUGGGCUUGGAGCUAGGAUUUUUCUGAGUGCACUGAACCAACUCCCGAGUCUCUAGGACAUUCCUAAAAAAAUUUGAUUUUUUUCCCAUAGGAAUGAAUGGGUUAGGGUUAUGGUUAGGGUUAGGGUUGGAGCUAGGGUUAGGGUUAGGGUUAGGGUUGGAGUUAGGGUUAGUGUUGGAGCUAGGGUUAGGGUUGGGCUUGGAGCUAGGAUUUUUCUGAGUGCAAUGAACCAACUCCCGAGUCUCUAGGAAGUUCCUAAAAAAAUUUGAUUUUUUUCCCAUAGGAAUGCAUGGGUUAGGGUUAGGGUUAGGGUUGGAGCUAGGGUUAGGGUUAGGGUUAGGGUUGGAGUUAGGGUUAGUGUUGGAGCUAGGGUUAGGGUUGGGCUUGGAGCUAGGAUUUUUCUGAGUGCACUGAACCAACUCCCGAGUCUCUAGGACAUUCCUAAAAAAAUUUGAUUUUUUCCCAUAGGAAUGCAUGGGUUAGGGUUAUGGUUAGGGUUAGGGUUGGAGCUAGGGUUAGGGUUAGGGUUAGGGUUGGAGUUAGGGUUAGUGUUGGAGCUAGGGUUAGGGUUGGGCUUGGAGCUAGGAUUUUUCUGAGUGCAAUGAACCAACUCCCGAGUCUCUAGGACGUUCCUAAAAAAAUUUGAUUUUUUCCCAUAGGAAUGCAUGGGUUAGGGUUAGGGUUAGGGUUGGAGCUAGGGUUAGGGUUAGGGUUAGGGUUAGGGUUAGGGUUGGAGUUAGGGUUAGUGUUGGAGCUAGGGUUAGGGUUGGGCUUGGAGCUAGGAUUUUUCUGAGUGCACUGAACCAACUCCCGAGUCUCUAGGACAUUCCUAAAAUAAUUUGAUUUUUUCCCAUAGGAAUGCAUGGGUUAGGGUUAGGGUUAGGGUUGGAGCUAGGGUUAGGGUUAGGGUUAGGGUUGGAGUUAGGGUUAGUGUUGGAGCUAGGGUUAGGGUUGGGCUUGGAGCUAGGAUUUUUCUGAGUGCACUGAACCAACUCCCGAGUCUCUAGGACAUUCCUAAAAAAAUUUGAUUUUUUCCCAUAGGAAUGCAUGGGUUAGGGUUAUGGUUAGGGUUAGGGUUGGAGCUAGGGUUAGGGUUAGGGUUAGGGUUGGAGUUAGGGUUAGUGUUGGAGCUAGGGUUAGGGUUGGGCUUGGAGCUAGGAUUUUUCUGAGUGCACUGAACCAACUCCCGAGUCUCUAGGACGUUCCUAAAAAAAUUUGAUUUUUUCCCAUAGGAAUGCAUGGGUUAGGGUUAGGGUUAGGGUUGGAGCUAGGGUUAGGGUUAGGGUUAGGGUUGGAGUUAGGGUUAGUGUUGGAGCUAGGGUUAGGGUUGGGCUUGGAGCUAGGAUUUUUCUGAGUGCACUGAACCAACUCCCGAGUCUCUAGGACAUUCCUAAAAAAAUUUGAUUUUUUUCCCAUAGGAAUGCAUGGGUUAGGGUUAUGGUUAGUGUUAGGGUUGGAGCUAGGGUUAGGGUUAGGGUUAGGGUUAGGGUUGGAGUUAGGGUUAGUGUUGGAGCUAGGGUUAGGGUUGGGCUUGGAGCUAGGAUUUUUCUGAGUGCACUGAACCAACUCCCGAGUCUCUAGGACGUUCCUAAAAAAAUUUGAUUUUUUCCCAUAGGAAUGCAUGGGUUAGGGUUAGGGUUAGGGUUGGAGCUAGGGUUAGGGUUAUAGUUAGGGUUAGGGUUGGAGUUAGGGUUAGUGUUGGAGCUAGGGUUAGGGUUGGGCUUGGAGCUAGGAUUUUUCUGAGUGCACUGAACGAACUCCCGAGUCUCUAGGACAUUCCUAAAAAAAAUUGAUUUUUUCCCAUAGGAAUGCAUGGGUUAGGGUUAUGGUUAGGGUUAGGGUUGGAGCUAGGGUUAGGGUUAGGGUUAGGGUUGGAGUUAGGGUUAGUGUUGGAGCUAGGGUUAGGGUUGGGCUUGGAGCUAGGAUUUUUCUGAGUGCACUGAACCAACUCCCGAGUCUCUAGGACAUUCCUAAAAAAAUUUGAUUUUUUUCCCAUAGGAAUGCAUGGGUUAGGGUUAUGGUUAGGGUUAGGGUUGGAGCUAGGGUUAGGGUUAGGGUUAGGGUUGGAGUUAGGGUUAGUGUUGGAGCUAGGGUUAGGGUUGGGCUUGGAGCUAGGAUUUUUCUGAGUGCACUGAACCAACUCCCGAGUCUCUAGGACGUUCCUAAAAAAAUUAGAUUUUUUCCCAUAGGAAUGCAUGGGUUAGGGUUAGGGUUAGGGUUGGAGCUAGGGUUAGGGUUAGGGUUAGGGUUGGAGUUAGGGUUAGUGUUGGAGCUAGGGUUAGGGUUGGGCUUGGAGCUAGGAUUUUUCUGAGUGCAAUGAACCAACUCCCGAGUCUCUAGGACGUUCCUAAA